rnacentral:lncRNA from 7 species
ACAGGGGUAUCCCCAAGGACUCAGGCAGUAGAACUAGCUGAGUGUUUUCCACUAGCUUUUCUUUCUGCCUGCUAUAAAUACAAAAAGAAGGGCAGUCUCUCAUGACCUAAUGAACAGAAAACAGAGAGAACAGCAUUUUUAUUUCCACUUCAUACACCGAUUUAUCCGAAAAGAAGAAAUAGUAAAGAAGAUCUGUGAGUUAAGUGGUGCUGCAUGAAUUUGUAAGUUAAAACAAUAAACUGGAAGAAAUGAAUGAAUUUGGAACCAGAAGCAAGAAAAUACUCUGCAUAAUGUCUGUGCAGUGUGAGAAAAGAUUUUAAAAAAUCUGUUUUGCAGAAGCCUGACAUUAUUUUCCCAUUUCUUGGAAAACUCUUAAUAUUUUAUAAUGACUACAGGAUAUGAUGAGCAGAAUGGGAAACUUCAAAAAUACAAGGGUUUAAAAUGGCUUUUGGAACCUUGAAACUCAAGUUGGAACCUCUUUUGUGGGAACUUACAUAAAGAAAAUGAAAGAAAGCACUCAGUUCUACAAAUAAAUCAAUCUUGGAAGGUCAACUUCGUGCCCCUACUUCAGGGGGCUAGCAGAGUAUGCAACGCUGUGUUGCAUCAACAAAGAUGAAAGAAACACUCCACAUGAAACCUGCGGUUCUCAGAAGCAUGUUGGUCCAAGUGUUUGCACAGUGCUUGGACAUCAUAGUGAGAGAUACUUACACAGAGUAGACAAGCAAUUAAAUAUGCUCUGGAAUUUUAACGAGCAGGAGUCCACACAGUACUUGCUGCUAGACGGAAAGAGAACCUUGAAGGCUUGUCUACUGUUAAGUGCUUUUGUUACAGGCACACUCCUGUUCAGAUGAAGAUCCUUUUGCAGCACUGACCCUGCACACACCAGACCAAGGACCUCUACUGCUCUGCUAGAACCAAGGGUAGGCUAUGCAGGUACAAUGCGGAGGUUUGCCUGGACUGAAGAUCUUUUCCAACCUGAAUGACUCCAUGAUUCUAAGACUGACAAAGAAUUCUACCUGUCAACUGUGCAGCUGAAGAUUUGCUCCCUAAGUAACUACCAACCUCAAUUUACAGAACUGUUCCUUUUCUCUUUUGCUAGCACUAAGUUUAUACUAAGUAGAAGAAAAUAAUAAUAAUAGGAAUAAAAAUAUCUUAAAAGAAGUAAAUGUUACAUUUUAAUUAAGCUUUUGUAACACUACAGAAAGAAUAAUACCAAUAUUGAGACAUUAUAUUUUACUUUACCUAAUCACUAACAUAAAUGAUUUUUUUUUUGUCAUUUUCUGUGGGAAAGAAAAAAUAUAACUUUGAGAGAAAACCUGCUGCUUCCAUCUGAUAAUGACACGAAAUGUUCUAUCCCAAAAUGAUCUUAAAAAAAUGAGAUCAAAGGACCACCUCACCUUAUAUUCUGUCUCUGGUUGUAGUCAAUGACAGCUGUCUAGGAGUAGUAAAAAUAGUGCAAACAUAGAGUAAUGCUUUAUGGGUAACACUCUCUGGCUCUAAAUACUGAUGGCUCUGGGCCUGCUUGAGUUGUACAGUCAUUUCUUCUUCAACUUUUCUGUGUAUUACAGAAUUUCAUACAUGUCUGUACAUCUACAGACAUUCCAAAUUGCAAAGAUUUUGUCACAAAAAGCUAUCACUUUUUGUCACUCUUUUCUCUACCUUUACUAGAUCACCUCAGUGGUCUUUUCCAACCAUGAUUCUGUGAUUCUAUGAUUAUGAAAUGAAGGGACCAGAAUUGUAUAUAGUUUUGAGGAAAUGGAGGGUACCAAACACCUAAGUAGAUUCAGAAGAGUUUUGACAAAUACUGUUUGAAACUUAUCAGAAACAAAUUCAUUUAUACUUUUGUGCUGCAAUCUCGCAUAUGCCUCUCCAAAAUCAAAUUGUAUUAGCUUUGUUCAUCAUUAUUUGCUUAUCUCUUCCUCAUCCAUCACAUUAGCUAGUAGAUAGUGCUCCCUGAAAUAUACAGAACUUAUUGCCUAUUUAAAAUUAUUUUUUGAUGUAAUUGUAAUUAUAAAACAAU